UAGAGUUUGAUCCUGGCUCACAUUGAACGCUGGCGGCAUGCCUUACACAUGCAAGUCGAACGGCAGCACGGGGGCAACCCUGGUGGCGAGUGGCGAACGGGUGAGUAAUACAUCGGAACGUGUCCUGNNNNNGGGGAUAGCCCGGCGAAAGCCGGAUUAAUACCGCAUACGAUCUAUGGAUGAAAGCGGGGGAUCUUCGGACCUCGUGCUAUAGGGGCGGCCGAUGGCGGAUUAGCUAGUUGGUGGGGUAAAGGCCCACCAAGGCGACGAUCCGUAGCUGGUCUGAGAGGACGACCAGCCACACUGGGACUGAGACACGGCCCAGACUCCUACGGGAGGCAGCAGUGGGGAAUUUUGGACAAUGGGCGAAAGCCUGAUCCAGCAAUGCCGCGUGUGUGAAGAAGGCCUUCGGGUUGUAAAGCACUUUUGUCCGGAAAGAAAUCCUGGUGGCUAAUAUCCGCCGGGGAUGACGGUACCGGAAGAAUAAGCACCGGCUAACUACGUGCCAGCAGCCGCGGUAAUACGUAGGGUGCGAGCGUUAAUCGGAAUUACUGGGCGUAAAGCGUGCGCAGGCGGUGAUGUAAGACCGAUGUGAAAUCCCCGGGCUUAACCUGGGAACUGCAUUGGUGACUGCAUCGCUGGAGUAUGGCAGAGGGGGGUAGAAUUCCACGUGUAGCAGUGAAAUGCGUAGAGAUGUGGAGGAAUACCGAUGGCGAAGGCAGCCCCCUGGGCCAAUACUGACGCUCAUGCA
rnacentral:rRNA from 1 species